UAGGCUGACGCCACGGCACUCACUCUAGCCUGGACAACAAAGCGAGACUCUGUCUCAAAAAAAAAAAGUAUAAUAUGAAACACUAUAUUGAUAAUGCUUAGGUAACAACAUGAGGAUAUUUAAUUAAAGAGCUAUAUCAAUAUUGAAAUGGUUCCAUAUACAGAUUAGGACUAUCAAGGCUGUCCUUGGUGUUUCUUGAAUCAUAGUGACUUAAAAUUAUUAAGAGUGAAUUAGUGAAUCAGUCAAUAGACAAGAUGGAAGUGUGUAGGACAAAAAGAUCAGUCCUGGAUCGAUGAUGACAGCUGGUGGUGUAUGAGUCUUAUACGAUGAAUACACAUAUGGAAAUCUGAGGUCCAUCACAAAAGAAAUCAAGCCAUUUUCUGUGUUUGAUAUAAUCCUUUAGAAAGGUGUCAGGAAUAUAGAAUGGGUUAGUGUUUGGUCUUUGUGUUUAUAUAUUUUUAUUCUAUUUUUAUAAUUGGUCAGCGUCAGAACCACUAACCAAAUGUAUAAAUAAAUAAAAGAUGAAUGAUGUUAAUCAUUGCCCAAUUAUAAAAAUAUGUGCUGAGGCAAGAAGCACUAUUAGUGAAAACAAUGAAGUCCAAAGAGACAUAAAUGGUACCUGCCUGUCACCUCUUUGGCUAAUGAUGACAUAGACAGUAUAAUUCUAGAUAAUGUUAAAAUUCAUGACCAGUUGCGAGUUCAAAAUUCUUCAUGUUUUUUUUAAGAGAAAAUGGAAUAUGUAGACUCCAAAUAAUGACAGUUUACGUGACUAAUGGUGGGUGAAAGGCAAGGGUCCAUCGUCAGAUUGUCUCUCUCUUGUUAUCUCUGAAUUACGAGCCUCAGAACGGAUGACGUGUUCUGCUCUGAGGAUCCCGCAUGGUCAUGUGCGCCGUUUGCACCACGCUUAGGACAGAGCUUGCAGACCAGUAAUGGAAACCCAAAGGCUGAGUGAAGGAGUUUCCUGAGUGAAGUUGCGUCCCUGUGUUAGGAGCCUGGAGACCCCCUCGCCCCCCAGGCACCGCGUGGGCCGCCUGCACCAUGAAGAUCUGGACUUCGGAGCAUGUCUUUGACCACCCAUGGGAAACUGUUACCACAGCUGCAAUGCAGAAAUACCCAAACCCUAUGAACCCGAGUGUGGUGGGAGUUGAUGUGUUGGACAGACAUAUAGAUCCCUCCGGAAAGUUGCACAGCCAUAGACUUCUGAGCACAGAGUGGGGACUGCCUUCCAUUGUGAAGUCUCUUAUUGGUGCAGCAAGAACCAAAACAUAUGUGCAAGAACAUUCUGUAGUUGAUCCUGUAGAGAAAACAAUGGAACUUAAAUAUACUAAUAUUUCAUUUACAAAUAUGGUUUCAGUAGAUGAAAGACUUAUAUAUAAACCACAUCCCCAGGACCCAGAAAAAACUAUUUUGACUCAAGAAGCCAUAAUCACUGUGAAAGGAGUCAGCCUUAGCAGUUACCUUGAAGGACUGAUGGCAAGUACCAUAUCUUAAAAUGCUAAUAAAGGCCGAGAAGCAAUGGAAUGGGUAAUACAUAAAUUAAAUGCCGAGAUUGAAGAACUGACGGGUUCAGCAAGAGGAGGCAUAAGGACUCCAAUGGCAGCAGCAGCGUUUGUAGGAAAAUGAUGAUACCAGUUGGUAGAUAACGUUGGGUGCCCCAGGUCUCUCCAAGCUGGCAAUAUUUAUUUGUUAUUUAAAAAAUACAACUAUAUUUUAGGUAGAAUUUUUUUUUUUAAUAAGCUGAUUUAGGCUACGUGACUUGAUCAAAACAGAGAUACAGGGCUUCUAAAUAAAGGGAUCAUCUGAAAUUAGUGUUGUUUGAAAUGGCUAAUUUUAAGGUUUCCAGUAUUUAUAUAAAAAUUUAAGUUUUCUUAAAAGUACUUGGAAAUUGGCAUUGACAUUGACUCUCCUUAGGUAGAAUUUUAAAGCUUUUCAUGCAUUGGAACUCUACCUGGCUUUGGACCAACCCCAAAACAAAGCAGAGAUUGCCCUGCUGCUGUAACUUCAACAGCUUGCAUGAGAGAACUCACUUUAAAAGGAGAAAUUAUAUACUUUUAAAAGAUAUUAAUUUGUAUAACUUGCUCUGCUAUAAACCACCUUUAAAAACCAGUGUUUUGGUUUUGUACUUAAAUAUUUUUGGAGUGCAAAUUACCUCUAAAGUAAUAUAUGACUGCAACAAAAAUAAAAUUUUAUUGUAUUAAAGAGUACUGUAUUGAUUUGCCAAAUUUUUGUGACUUGGUAAAGGUAUUACCUUCCUUGGAUUUGUACUUUGUGAUUUAGUAUGCUGUGCCGUGGGCUGGUUAUGUUAACUGAAAAAAUAAAGUCAUUACCUGAAAAAAAAAA